GUUUUUGUUGGUAAAGUUGACAAGACAUGCUCUCAUAAUUAAUCAUGAAAUUGAUCGUGCCAAUGUUGCUAAUUGGUAUGCAAACUACUCUUCAAAUUGAAUUCAAAAAUUAUACUCCCUUUCCACAUAUCGCUGUCCAAUAUUAAAAUUUGUUUUGCCCUUUAGAUAAUGAUAACCAAGCCUAUCUCAAAAACAUGUCAUGAUAUUUC
rnacentral:lncRNA from 1 species